rfam:Sarcophilus harrisii ctg7180002209151, whole genome shotgun sequence.
GGUAAAAUGGCCGAGGAUAGGCAAUGAACUGUAAAUUCAAAGACAGAGACUAGAUAUUUCUAUUUACCA